rfam:Triticum aestivum genome assembly, contig: Triticum_aestivum_CS42_TGACv1_scaffold_290009_4AL
CUAGUACUCCCUCCGUCCAGAAAUACUUGUCAUCAAAAUGGUUAAAAGGGAAUGUAUCUAGAUAUAUUUUAGUUCUAGAUACAUCUCUUUUUAUCCAUUUUAAUGACAAGUAUUUUUGGACAGAGGGAGUAUGAA